rnacentral:rRNA from 1 species
GACGAACGCUGGCGGCGUGCUUAACACAUGCAAGUCGAACGGAAAGGCCUUGUUCUUGCGCGGUGCUCGAGUGGCGAACGGGUGUGUAUCACGCGAGUAACCUGCCCUUGUCUUUGGGAUACAUUAAGGAAACAGGGGUUAUUAUCGGACAGGAGAUCUUGCUGCAUGGUGGGGGAUGGAAAGUUGCGCCGGUUGGGGAUGGACUCGCGGCUCAUCAGCUUGUUGGUGGGGUAGUGGCUUACAAAGGCUCUGACGGGUAGCCGGCCUGCGAGGGUGACCGGCCACAUUGGGACUGAGAUAGGACCCGGACUCCUACGGGAGGCAGCAGUGGGAAAUAUUGCGCAAUGGGCGGAGGCCGGAUGCAGCAACGCCGCGUGCGAAAUGACGGCCUGCGGGGAGUAAACCGCGUGCGCCUGUGACGAAGCGUGAGUGACGGUAAUGGGUAAAAAAGCACCGGCUAACUACGUG